rnacentral:lncRNA from 1 species
CUUUGAUGCUAUACUUAAGUGAAGUUUCUUUUGCUAACUGAUUCGUUGUCUUCAUUCAUUAAAGUCAUGAAUAUUUCAUUUUAUUACAAACCUAAGUCAGAUCUGACCUACAAUAUUUUGUAUUAGUUGGCAGGAUUGGAUGGUUUUCAUGGUUGAAAGAGGCGAAGGUCAGUGCAGAGGAAGGGUUCCAUCCAUACUUGACCUGUUGCCAGGCCUGGUAACCUACAUCUAUUACAUCUAAGCCCUCAAAAUGGGACAUGAAUGGAUGCUUUUCUAUUGGCCUGAAGAUAUUAGCUUUGUGGAAGGUGAAAUGAAGGAUAAAGAUGCUGCCAAGGAUUCCUGGACCAUAAAGUGCUGAAGCUGACAAGAGGCAUGAAAAAGAAUCCAGUUCUUCACACAUAUGAUGAGAGAAGCCCAGAAGAGUAAAAUGAUAUGUCUUAAUCAGUUCAAUCAGCUGGAUUAGCUUUUAUUGGGUUAAGUGCACCUAAUAUAUAAAUUCCAAAGUCAAGUUGGUAAAUAUAAAGUUCUGCUAUUUCUUUCUGCUCACUCCAACUUUGAAUUCCUCUAAAAAGGAAACUCAAGGCUUCUGAUUUCCCAAAUGAAAUAGCCUUCCUCUUUCCCAGUCCCUUUACUACCCUCUAAACUUUAAAUCUCUUUCCAGUGCCUAGAACAAAUAUUCUGCCUGGGGUGGUUACUUAAUAUAUGUUGAACUUGUUUUUGUUGAAUUGAAUUGUCACUAUUUGCAUUUCUCCUAAACAUCACUUCUACUCACAGCUUAGAGGGCUAGUUUUCCUUUUUGGAGACUUUGUGGUUGGAGUCAUUCUAAUCAGUUUAAGACUGCCAGAUUUAAGAAUUGCACUGUCAAGAGUUGGUAGCCAAGUGCUCUGCUAAUUUGAAUAGUAAUAAGUGAAACAGAAAAUGUUAGUCUGUUCUUUUGCACUCUUUGGACCAGUGAAUUUAGCCACCUGUUAGCAGUAGAGCUGAGAGUUGAACCUCUCUCUUGACUCCUAGUUGAGUUUUCCAUUAUACUACACUUCCUGGCCAAAUACUUAUCAUAGGGCUCUCCACAUAGUAGACUUUUACUCUAUUGAAUAUAUGUAAUAUUGAAUGCAUUGUUGUUGAAUUGAAUAGCGCCCUUCAUAAUUUCUCCCAGAGGUGUGCUGAGCCAGUUUGAAAAGGGAAUUGGUUGUUACAUUUUCAGUAUGAGCAUUUAUACUCUUGAAUCAGAAAAUACUACAAAAUAGAGCUUGAUUUAUUGUUUUCUUGAUUGUUUAGA